AGUGAACGCUGGCGGUAGGCCUAACACAUGCAAGUCGAACGGCAGCACAGUAAGAGCUUGCUCUUCCGGGUGGCGAGUGGCGGACGGGUGAGGAAUACAUCGGAAUCUACUUUUUCGUGGGGGAUAACGUAGGGAAACUUACGCUAAUACCACAUACGACCUACGGGUGAAAGCAGGGGAUCUUCGGACCUUGCGCGAUUGAAUGAGCCGAUGUCGGAUUAGCUAGUUGGCGGGGUAAAGGCCCACCAAGGCGACGAUCCGUAGCUGGUCUGAGAGGAUGAUCAGCCACACUGGAACUGAGACACGGUCCAGACUCCUACGGGGGGCAGCAGUGGGGAAUAUUGGACAAUGGGCGCAAGCCUGAUCCAGCCAUACCGCGUGGGUGAAGAAGGCCUUCGGGUUGUAAAGCCCUUUUGUUGGGAAAGAAAAGCAGCAGGUUAAUACCCCGCUGUUCUGACGGUACCCAAAGAAUAAGCACCGGCUAACUUCGUG
rnacentral:rRNA from 1 species